AGUAAUGUAGGUUUAGCAAGAUUCACUAUUAAUCAUGUAUCAAUAUAGGUGGUUAUUCAAUUCACAUUGUGUUCAUGUUUUAAUUUAUGUGUAUCAUGUUUAAGCACAAUUUACACCCAGCAGUCUCAGGAUACUUUUGUCUGUGUUAGAGAGACAGGAUGUGCAGGUUGAAAGCUAUAUUUGGUUGAGCAAUUAUAAAGUUAGGUUCUCUCUUUGAGACAAAGCUGAGAUAGAAAAGUAUGAUAGAUAUAAAACUAUAAAAACGUACUUGUGCAUUGCUAUGUUCCAAAAUAAUAUGAUCAAUGACAGAAAUAAUUAAGGUAUUUCCACAUGUAUACACAACAUGUAUUCCACUUCACUAAUUAGACCAUGCUCAGGCUAAUAUAAUUAGUAAAAAAAAACUAUAAGUUAUAAAUAUAAUCUUUUGAUAUAACCUGUGUGGGAAACCAGGAAAUGGUGAGCACCCAUAAUCUCCAGAAAAAGAUGAAAUUUUGUGUAAUAAUUUGAAAUACACCAUCUAUUUGACUAGCAUAUACAUAAGAACCUAACAGACAAUGAACUGUCUAGGUCACUAAGACAUAGGUGCACUUAAGAAAGGGAAGAAGUGGAGACAGGUAGGAAGGAACAGAAUUAAAAAUAUAACCAGUUUAAGGUCCUUCUUAGAUGAAGGAAACAUGAGGUAAUUGUGAGCAUAAAUUUGUCCAACUGACACCGCCCAAAAUGCUGUAUAAAAAGAGUCAUAUAUUCAGUUGUCUAUUCGAUUGGCUAUCGCCUGUAGUCAGUUAAUGUAUCCGGGGCAGCUCAGUUUACUUGUUAACAUGUAACUGUUGCAAAUAAACCUGCAUGGAGUGAACUUCUGAA